rnacentral:rRNA from 1 species
UACGUAGGGUGCAAGCGUUAAUCGGAAUUACUGGGCGUAAAGCGUGCGCAGGCGGUUAUGCAAGACAGAUGUGAAAUCCCCGGGCUCAACCUGGGAACUGCAUUUGUGACUGCAUAGCUGGAGUGCGGCAGAGGGGGAUGGAAUUCCGCGUGUAGCAGUGAAAUGCGUAGAUAUGCGGAGGAACACCGAUGGCGAAGGCAAUCCCCUGGGCCUGCACUGACGCUGAUGCGCGAAAGCUAGGGGAGCAAACAGG